CCAAUAGCGUAUAUUAAAGUUGUUGCAGUUAAAAAGCUCGUAGUUGAAUUUCGGGGUUAGUAGGCUGGUCAUGCCUCCGGUAUGUACUGGUCUCACUGAUUCCUCCUUCCUGAUGAACCGUAAUGCCAUUAAUUUGGUGUUGCGGGGAAUUUGGACUGUUACUUUGAAAAAAUUAGAGUGUUUAAAGCAAGCUAACGCUUGAAUACAUUAGCAUGGAAUAAUGAAAUAGGACGUUCGAUCCUAUUUUGUUGGUUUCUAGGAUUGACGUAAUGAUUAAUAGGGAUAGUUGGGGGCAUUAGUAUUCAAUUGUCAGAGGUGAAAUUCUUGGAUUUAUUGAAGACUAACUACUGCGAAAGCAUUUGCCAAGGAUGUUUUCAUUAAUCAAGAACGAAAGUUAGGGGAUCGAAGACGAUCAGAUACCGUCGUAGUCUUAACCAUAAACUAUGCCGACUAGGGAUCGGAUGAUGUUAAUUUUUUAAUGACUCAUUCGGCGCCUUACG
rnacentral:rRNA from 1 species